AGCGCUUUGGGGUCCAUAGGGAUUAAGUAAAGCGCUAUAAAAAUACAGGCCAUUUAGCAUUGGCUCCGUGUCCAACCUCCACCCUGGAGGACCAAUUGCUGAUUUUUGUCUGGCCUUUACCUCCACAGGCUGCCCAACCUGGUCAGACCAAGGCAUCGUCACCCGUCAGCCUCCCACCUCAGUAAGACCCGGGAGAAGACGGAGGUAGAGAGGCACAGACUGAGUGGACACAAAGGCUGAAGUAAACAGGACUCAUCCUUUAACUUUCAGCUGUGCAGCUGUGUGUGAAUCAUCAGCUGAACCACAUCCUCAGACAGACGGACAGACGGGCCUGGUUAUGCAGCUCUUAUGAAACAGCAGAUGUAGAUGUAGACACUACAGGGUGACAUCAGCAG
ensembl:lncRNA